AACGCUAGCUACAGGCUUAACACAUGCAAGUCGAGGGGAAACGACAUCGAAAGCUUGCUUUUGAUGGGCGUCGACCGGCGCACGGGUGAGUAACGCGUAUCCAACCUGCCCACCACUUGGGGAUAACCUUGCGAAAGUAAGACUAAUACCCGAUGAUAUCCCUAGAAGACAUCUGAAAGGGAUUAAAGAUUUAUCGGUGAUGGAUGGGGAUGCGUCUGAUUAGCUUGUUGGCGGGGUAACGGCCCACCAAGGCAACGAUCAGUAGGGGUUCUGAGAGGAAGGUCCCCCACAUUGGAACUGAGACACGGUCCAAACUCCUACGGGAGGCAGCAGUGAGGAAUAUUGGUCAAUGGGCGAGAGCCUGAACCAGCCAAGUAGCGUGCAGGACGACGGCCCUAUGGGUUGUAAACUGCUUUUAUAAGGGAAUAAAGUGAGUCUCGUGAGACUUUUUGCAUGUACCUUAUGAAUAAGGACCGGCUAAUUCCGUGCCAGCAGCCGCGGUAAUACGGAAGGUCCGGGCGUUAUCCGGAUUUAUUGGGUUUAAAGGGAGCGUAGGCCGGAGAUUAAGCGUGUUGUGAAAUGUAGACGCUCAACGUCUGCACUGCAGCGCGAACUGGUUUCCUUGAGUACGCACAAAGUGGGCGGAAUUCGUGGUGUAGCGGUGAAAUGCUUAGAUAUCACGAAGAACUCCGAUUG
rnacentral:rRNA from 1 species